CGCAACCCUUAUCGUUAGUUGCCAGCUGGUAAAGCAGGGGACUCUAGCGAAACUGCCACCGUAAGGUGAGAGGAAGGUGGGAUGACGUCAAAUCAGCACGGCCCUUAUGUCCAGGGCUACACACGUGUUACAAUGGCCGGCACAGAGGGCAGCUACCUGGUGACAGGAUGCUAAUCUCGAAAACCGGUCUCAGUUCGGAUCGAAGUCUGCAACUCGACUUCGUGAAGCUGGAUUCGCUAGUAAUCGCGCAUCAGCCAUGGCGCGGUGAAUACGUUCCCGGGCCUU
rnacentral:rRNA from 1 species